rnacentral:lncRNA from 1 species
UGCUAAUUCAUUGGCCGCUCAUUCGAACUAGAGUUCCUUGGUGGUUAAGUAUGCAUGUCCUCUUUUUUCUUGUUUUUUUUUUCCAGAUUUAGGAUUAGGAAAUUCUUCAUCUUUCAUGGAUGCAAGAACCACCUUAACUCCAUCCUUGUAGAAUGUAUAUAUUUUUUUUUCUCCCCCAAUGUGGAUAGUUACAUAUCAAGUUGCCAUGGCCGGCCUAAUAGUAUAUGACAAGCCUCCAUGUUUACUACAUCGCACAAUACUUCAUUUGAAUAGUUUUUACCAAUAGAAAAAGGAACAACACAUUGUUGUUUUACUUUCACCUCACUUCCUUUUUUGAACCAAGCAACUCGAUGUGGCCUUAGGUGUGGUUGAACUCUAAGAUUCAAUUUCAUCACCAUUUCUUGAUACUAUGUUUUCACAGCUUCCGCCAUCAAUGAUAACACUGCAAAGACACCCAUGAGAAGAACACCGUGUUCGAAAGAUGUUAUUCUGCAGCCAGCCAUCUUCUGUAGCAUUUGUUAUUAGCAUUGCACGAUGCACCACCAGGUUUUGAAGAUCUUGGUCUUCAUAAUUAACAUCUUCUUCUGUGAAAUUCAGAAACCCUCCUUCUUCAUUUGUAUCAUCAUAUGUCCCUCAUUAUUAAUUGCCUUUUCAUCAACAAGAAAGUUGCUUGCAGUCCUUCGACAAUCAGAAGUCUUGUGCCCAUCUUUUCCACACUUACAGCAUAUUAUUUUAUUCCCUACAAACUGAGAAGGUACAUAGCUAUUUGAAUUGACCAUACUGCACAGGCUUCUGCCCAUUGUUUCCCCCUUCUUUGAUUUGCUGCCGUUUGGAAUGGUUCUUUAGAAAUUUGAUCGGAGCUACUGUUGAAUGGUCGUGCCAACUGAGAUUCCACCUUUAAUGCCAACUGCACUGUGCUAGG